GUGUCAGCAGCCGCGGUAAUACGUAGGUGACCAGCGUUGUCCGGAUUUACUGGGCGUAAAGAGCGCGCAGGCGGUCGUUCAAGUCGAGUGUGAAAGCCCCCGGCUCAACUGGGGAGGGUCACUCGAUACUGAUCGACUUGAAGGCAGGAGAGGGAAGCGGAAUUCCCGGUGUAGUGGUGAAAUGCGUAGAUAUCGGGAGGAACACCAGUGGCGAAGGCGGCUUCCUGGCCUGUUCUUGACGCUGAGGCGCGAAAGCUAGGGGAGCAAACGGGAUUAGAAACCCCCGUAGUCC
rnacentral:rRNA from 1 species